rnacentral:rRNA from 1 species
AGAGUUUGAUCCUGGCUCAGGAUGAACGCUAGCGGGAGGCCUAAUACAUGCAAGUCGAGCGGCAAGGUUCUUCGGAACCCUAGAGCGGCGCACGGGUGAGUAACGCGUACGCAAUUUGCCCUUAAGAGGGGGAUAGCCCUGGGAAACUGGGAUUAAUACCUCAUGGAGUUAUUUGGUUGCAUGAUCUGAAUAACUAAAGUUCCGGCGCUUGAGGAUGAGCGUGCGUCUGAUUAGCUAGUUGGUAGGGUAACGGCCUACCAAGGCGAUGAUCAGUAGGGGGCGUGAGAGCGUGGCCCCCCACACGAGGUACUGAGACACGGACCCGACUCCUACGGGAGGCAGCAGUAAGGAAUAUUGGGCAAUGGGGCAACUCUGACCCAGCCAUCCCGCGUGAAGGAUGAAGGCCCUAUGGGUUGUAAACUUCUUUUGUUUGGGAAGAAAUCAGGACAUUCAUGUGCUGUUGACGGUACCUUACGAAUAAGC